UACAGAGGUCUCAAGCGUUGUUCGGAUUCAUUGGGCGUAAAGGGUGCGUAGGCGGCGCGGUAAGUCGGGUGUGAAAUCUUGGAGCUUAACUCCGAAACUGCAUUCGAUACUGCCGUGCUUGAGGACUGGAGAGGAGACUGGAAUUUACGGUGUAGCGGUGAAAUGCGUAGAUAUCGUAAGGAAGACCAGUGGCGAAGGCAGGUCUCUGGACAGUUCCUGACGCUGAGGCACGAAGGUCAGGGGAGCAAACGGG
rnacentral:rRNA from 1 species